GAUGAACGCUGGCGGCGUGCCUAAUACAUGCAAGUCGAGCGAACGGGCGAGAAGCUUGCUUCUCUGAUGUUAGCGGCGGACGGGUGAGUAACACGUGGAUAACCUACCUAUAAGACUGGGAUAACUUCGGGAAACCGGAGCUAAUACCGGAUGAUAUUUUGAACCGCAUGGUUCAAAAGUGAAAGACGGUCUUGCUGUCACUUAUAGAUGGAUCCGCGCUGCAUUAGCUAGUUGGUAAGGUAACGGCUUACCAAGGCAACGAUGCAUAGCCGACCUGAGAGGGUGAUCGGCCACACUGGAACUGAGACACGGUCCAGACUCCUACGGGAGGCAGCAGUAGGGAAUCUUCCGCAAUGGGCGAAAGCCUGACGGAGCAACGCCGCGUGAGUGAUGAAGGUCUUCGGAUCGUAAAACUCUGUUAUUAGGGAAGAACGUAUGUGUAAGUAACUGUGCACAUCUUGACGGUACCUAAUCAGAAAGCCACGGCUAACUACGUG
rnacentral:rRNA from 1 species